rnacentral:lncRNA from 1 species
GAGAGAAGAAAGAAAAAGGAAAUGGAAGAGAGAAUGUCACUAGAAGAGACCAAGGAACAAAUUCUGAAACUGCAGCAGAAGCUUUCAGCUCUACAGGAAGAGAAACACCAGCUUUUCUUGCAGCUCAAGAAAGUUUUGCAUGAGGAAGAAAAACGGAGGCGAAAGGAACAGAGUGACUUAACCACUCUGACAUCAGCUGCAUACCAGCAGAGCCUGACGGUUCAUACAGGAACUCACCUCCUCAGCAUGCAGGGGAGUCCUGGAGGACACAACCGCCCAGGUACUCUGAUGGCAGCUGACAGAGCCAAGCAGAUGUUUGGACCACAAGUGCUUACGGUGAGGGAGUCUUAGAAUUUUUAACCCCUUCUCUUCAGGCUGGCUUUUAAGUCACUAGUCAAG